rfam:Mycobacterium sp. E787 contig_34, whole genome shotgun sequence.
AAGCGACCGAUUCGAAGCGCUGGGAAACGGGGUAGGAAACCAGCCGCGUGCGACCUAAGCGUCAAACGCCCCCUAGAGUCGCCCGGGCCUGCCUAUGCGG